UAAGGGCGCACGGUGGAUGCCUUGGCACUAGAAGCCGAUGAAGGACGUUACUAACGACGAUAUGCUUUGGGGAGCUGUAAGUAAGCUUUGAUCCAGAGAUUUCCGAAUGGGGAAACCCAGCAUGAGUUAUGUCAUGUUAUCGAUAUGUGAAUACAUAGCAUAUCAGAAGGCACACCCGGAGAACUGAAACAUCUUAGUACCCGGAGGAAGAGAAAGAAAAUUCGAUUCCCUUAGUAGCGGCGAGCGAAACGGGAAGAGCCCAAACCAACAAGCUUGCUUGUUGGGGUUGUAGGACACUCUAUACGGAGUUACAAAGGACGACAUUAGACGAAUCAUCUGGAAAGAUGAAUCAAAGAAGGUAAUAAUCCUGUAGUCGAAAAUGUUGUCUCUCUUGAGUGGAUCCUGAGUACGACGGAGCACGUGAAAUUCCGUCGGAAUCUGGGAGGACCAUCUCCUAAGGCUAAAUACUCUCUAGUGACCGAUAGUGAACCAGUACCGUGAGGGAAAGGUGAAAAGCACCCCGGAAGGGGAGUGAAAUAGAACCUGAAACCGUGUGCUUACAAGUAGUCAGAGCCCGUUAAUGGGUGAUGGCGUGCCUUUUGUAGAAUGAACCGGCGAGUUACGAUUUGAUGCAAGGUUAAGCAGUAAAUGUGGAGCCGUAGCGAAAGCGAGUCUGAAUAGGGCGUUUAGUAUUUGGUCGUAGACCCGAAACCAGGUGAUCUACCCUUGGUCAGGUUGAAGUUCAGGUAACACUGAAUGGAGGACCGAACCGACUUACGUUGAAAAGUGAGCGGAUGAACUGAGGGUAGCGGAGAAAUUCCAAUCGAACCUGGAGAUAGCUGGUUCUCUCCGAAAUAGCUUUAGGGCUAGCCUCAAGUGAUGAUUAUUGGAGGUAGAGCACUGUUUGGACGAGGGGCCCCUCUCGGGUUACCGAAUUCAGACAAACUCCGAAUGCCAAUUAAUUUAACUUGGGAGUCAGAACAUGGGUGAUAAGGUCCGUGUUCGAAAGGGAAACAGCCCAGACCACCAGCUAAGGUCCCAAAAUAUAUGUUAAGUGGAAAAGGAUGUGGCGUUGCCCAGACAACUAGGAUGUUGGCUUAGAAGCAGCCAUCAUUUAAAGAGUGCGUAAUAGCUCACUAGUCGAGUGACACUGCGCCGAAAAUGUACCGGGGCUAAACAUAUUACCGAAGCUGUGGAUUGUCCUUUGGACAAUGGUAGGAGAGCGUUCUAAGGGCGUUGAAGCAUGAUCGUAAGGACAUGUGGAGCGCUUAGAAGUGAGAAUGCCGGUGUGAGUAGCGAAAGACGGGUGAGAAUCCCGUCCACCGAUUGACUAAGGUUUCCAGAGGAAGGCUCGUCCGCUCUGGGUUAGUCGGGUCCUAAGCUGAGGCCGACAGGCGUAGGCGAUGGAUAACAGGUUGAUAUUCCUGUACCACCUAUAAUCGUUUUAAUCGAUGGGGGGACGCAGUAGGAUAGGCGAAGCGUGCGAUUGGAUUGCACGUCUAAGCAGUAAGGCUGAGUAUUAGGCAAAUCCGGUACUCGUUAAGGCUGAGCUGUGAUGGGGAGAAGACAUUGUGUCUUCGAGUCGUUGAUUUCACACUGCCGAGAAAAGCCUCUAGAUAGAAAAUAG
rnacentral:rRNA from 1 species